GCCGGUGUGGUGGAAUUGGCAGACGCGCGGGACUCAAAAUCCCGUUCUGGCAACAGAGUGUGGGUUCGACCCCCACCACCGGCA
rnacentral:tRNA from 1 species